rnacentral:misc_RNA from 1 species
GUUUGUGAGUGUGCUCCAGGAAAAAAAAAAUAAUUGCUUCGAUGCAAUAAUGACAUUUGACAAUCUAUCCUGUGAUUGGAGAUAUAUAUGUUCAGAAUAACAGGAAAGGUGAUUGUGGUCAUUGAGACUAUUCCUUGAUGCAAAGUAAGACCUGCAUUUUUGCAUUGUCAUAUAUGACAGUUAAAAAGGUAAACUUGCAUGAUUAGAUAUGUAAAACCAAGGGGAUCUUGUUUGAGCUAAUCACAGAAACUAAAAUUUUCAAAUAGCAAGGGGUAGUGUGGGAAACAAAAUGCAGGUGUCCUUACCUGGUAGAGGCAACUUUUGCUGCAGCUGCAGUUCUUUCAGAUAGGUAAUGGAUAAUAUUUAAGACAGAAAAUAAGAGAUAAGGAGGAGAAGAAAGAAAGGGAA